rnacentral:misc_RNA from 1 species
UUAAGUUCAGCGGGUAUCCCUACCUGAUCCGAGGUCAACCUUUGAAAGAUUUAACGGCCGCGACGACUCGAACUCCACUGCGAAAUAGUUGCCACAACGCUGGGAGACGAACCGCUCAGCCGGAGACUUUGAGGCGCGCGGGGGACCCGCGACGCCCAAUACCAAGCGAGGCUUGAGUGGUGAAAUGACGCUCGAACAGG